UACGUAGGGUGCAAGCGUUGUCCGGAAUUUAUUGGGCGUAAAGAGCUCGUAGGCGGUCUGUCGCGUCUGCUGUGAAAACCUAGGGCUUAACUCUGGGCGUGCAGUGGGUACGGGCAGGCUAGAGUGCGGGGAGAGGAUAGUGGAAUUCCUGGUGUAGCGGUGAAAUGCGUAGAUAUCCGGAGGAACACCAGCGGCGAAGGCGGCAUCCUGGACUGGUCCUGACACUCAGGAGCGAAAGCGUGGGGAGCGAUCCGG
rnacentral:rRNA from 1 species